CAACGGGCCGGACUCUGCAAGCGGGAGAAGUGGAGAGAACGAGAGACUUUUGACGAGCGUUUGUCGUAUUUUUUUCUGCGUUUUAACAAUCCGUUGGAUGAAUCUCCAACAUUUUUUUGCUUGUCUGGAAAAGAUUCAAGUAAAAUCUUUGAAGUUUGCACGGUGAUCUAAAUUCUACACGUGAAAUGAGUGAAUCAGAACCCAUGUUCCUCCACACUGCCAUUAUGGAGGUCCUACCAGAGCCACAAAAGACAUCCUGGAAGAACACUUGCAGUCCAUUGGAAUAAAUGGAGUUGUAUGAGGAUCUAGGAUUCAUAGAAGAGGCUGACUUGCUGCCAGCUUUGAGACCUGUUCAAACCCGGAAACGUCUUGCUUUCUGGAAAUUGAAAUACCAAACGCCAGAGAACAGCGCAUCAUCAUCUGUUGAGACCUCACCAGCACAAUCAUCAUCACUUUUGUUAUUGUCACAGAAAAGUUCAUCAUCCACAUCUUCCAGAAGCUGAGGACUGUACAUACAUUGACUGGGAGGACAGCUUUGAAAUUCCAUGGAAAAUGAAGAAAGCAAGACGUUUUUCCAGACUCUAAAAGGCUGCAGAUGAUGCAAGGAGAUUGUAUGUGGUCUUUAGGACAGUCUUGCUUUUCCCCAAGGAGGUUCAUGCUGAGUUGGGACCGCUCCAUCGUACACAACAACAUUGCAGCACUGUGCCUGAUGUUCAGAAGCUACUUCUGCUUUAACAGUCAUUAUCCAACUGAGCUGGCUUCAACCCUGGAGUUUCUGCAAAGCUUAUGUCCUGUGAUGUGCCACUCUACCUGGUUGGGAACAAAUUGAAGAGGCCAAGCUCAAGAAAGCCUUUGUCAGCAAAUGUAGGGCAGAGCAGGUUCUAAGGCCACUGCUAUGAUCUACAGUAUGCGGACUGGUUUCUCUUCCAUCUUUUUUCUUAUUUUUUAUUCUUAUUUUUUAUCUUAAUUUGGUUCUCAAAUUGGUUCAUGGAUUUGGUAGACUGCAAGUUUCAGAGAAUGUUUUUAUCAGGUACUUUUUUACGUGGUUACAUAAUCUUGUUUUUUCCUUGUACCUCAGCAGUGAUGUCAGUGUGUUUGUUGUUUAAAAUCUGGAAGUAUUCAUGACCAGCAUGUCAGCCACAUUGAGUACGCCACGGUUCAUGUACUAAAUGCAUUUAAUAUUUUAAAAAGUGUCUAAUACUGCUACCACAAUUCAAAUGCUGUACUGAUGAUGGUGCUGCCCAAAUAAACUGUAAAGCAUUUA